GACGAACGCUGGCGGCGUGCUUAACACAUGCCAGUCGAACGGAAAGGCCCUGCUUUUGUGGGGUGUUCGAGUGGCGAACGGGUGAGUAACACGUGAGUAACCUGCCCUUGACUUUGGGAUAACUUCAGGAAACUGGGGCUAAUACCGGAUAGGAGCUCCUGCUGCAUGGUGGGGGUUGGAAAGUUUCGGCGGUUGGGGAUGGACUCGCGGCUUAUCAGCUUGUUGGUGGGGUAGUGGCUUACCAAGGCUUUGACGGGUAGCCGGCCUGUGGGGGUGACCGGCCAAAUGGGGACGUGAAUACGGCCCAGGCCCCUAGGGGGGGGAGGAGGGGGAAAUGUGGCAAAAUGGGCGGAAGCCUGAUGCAGAAACGCCGGGGGCGGGAUGACGGCCUUCGGGUUGUAAACCGCUUUCGCCUGUGACGAAGCGGGAGUGGCUGUAAGGGGUAAAGGAGCACCGGCUAACUACGG
rnacentral:rRNA from 1 species